AUGAGCUUGCUUCCCUUCUACCAUAACUGUAAGUUUCUGAAGUCCUCCCCAGCCAUGCAGAACUAUAAGUAAAUUAAACCUCUUUUCUUUAUAAAUUACCUAGUCUCAGGUAUGUCUUUAUAGCAGUGUGAAAAUAGGCUAAUACAUCUGGUGAAUCAAUAAUUAAAAUGUAGCAUAGCUAUAAAUGGAAUACUACUCAGUAAUAAAAGAAUAACUCGAUACAUACAAUAAUAUUGAUGAAUCUCAAAUGCAUUAUGGGAAGUAAAAGAAGCCAGGCUCCACUUAUGUGACAUUCUGGAAAAAGGAAGACUAUACGGUCAGAAAACAGAUCAGUGUUUGCCAGGACUUGGGGGUGGGGGGUGGGGAGUGAUUGACUACAAAAGGGCAUGAAGAAAUUUUGAAGGGGAGGUAUGGAACAGGUCUGUAUCUUGACUGCAGUGGAGUUAUUGAUACUUACCAAACUGUACAAUAAAAAGUAAAUUUUUAUUGUAUGAAAAUUAUGCCUAAAUUAAAAACUAUUAAUAAAAUCAGCAUUAGCAAAAUAUAUGAGUUUAUACACAAGAGACUACUCAACCAUUGGGUAAACUAAUUAUUUUUAAACAAAUACCAUUGAUUUUAAUCUUUUUAUAGUUUUUAUACAGGCAGAGAAAUAAUAGUGAUUCUGCUCACCUAAAGGAAGAUAGACCCAAUUCAAAGGUACAGAAUUUUCCCCAAAUAGUAUCAUAAUUUUUCCUUUCAGAUUCCAAAGGAUUUGCAUGUAAAUUCUAUCAUGUGAUCCUCAGAACCACCCUAUGAGGGUAAGCAGAACAGAUGAUCCAUGAUAUUCCAUUUUAUAAAUGAGGUGCAGGUUAAAUAUUUAGCCAGUAUUUCUUGAUAAGUAUAGUCCAUUUAUUUCAACAAACCUUGAUUGAGGGCCCCAAUACUUGUUGAGCUUUUGCUGAGCCACCCCUGCUCUAGAGGAGCACAUGCUCUGGAAAUCUCUAAGGAAACUACUACAACUCUAAAUAGAUAUGGUGUAUAGUGAUACUGUGACUAAAUAUUCACUGCAAAUUUCCUCUAAAAUUAUAGAUAUACAUUACUGGAAUAAUUAGUAUCUCAACAUCUUCAUUAACUAUGAAUCUACUAUGUAUAUAUCAUCACCAUGUGAGUAUUAAUUUGGUACAAAUAGGCUGCCAACUCUAAAAUUAUUUGAUGUAGGGCAAGUACUUUUAUCUUUUUAGCCAUAAAUUUUCUCAUCUGUAAAAUGAGAGGAGUAGGCAUGUGAUCAUUAAAUCCUGGGUUACGGUAGGAGGCAUCAAUAUGAAAUGUUUAGCUUAAUAUAGAUACAGAUGGGUAAAUAUAGAAAUACUUAAAAAUGCAUGUGGAUUCAUGUUUAAUACAUUAGUAUACACACAUAUAUUUCCAAGUUCUGUCCUCCGAAGGCCUAGAAGCAAUGACAAGCAGAAGCAAGGAGCACACCCAGCAUCCAGUUUUUUGUUUCUAAUACUGUUCUCCAACAAAGGGAACCAGAGCCCUUGAGAAAAAUGCCUAAUUCUAGGACUGGGGCAGGGGAUAUACAAGAUGAGUCUGAAACAUCUUAUAGUGCCAGAAAAUAAACAAGUGCUUUAAAAAGACACAAAAAACUGAUGGUAUAUCAAAGUGACAUAGGAGCCAACUAAAAGAGCUCCCAAUAGCUAAAGCUAGAAUAAUUCAAAAAAUAAGUAAUUCAGCAUUGGAUUUAACCCAAAUUAUAAAAUAAGAUCCAUGAGUUCAUACUGAUACAAGUAAAUGAUUGAAGAAACAAAUAAUUGGGAGAUAAUUCUCAUAUUGAAAAAUUCCAAAAAAUUUAUGUACUCUACCCUCGAGAAGAUGGAACAUAAUUCUCCACCCCAUAAGCAUGAGUCAAGCCUAGUAAAUGUUUUUCAAAGAGCGCAGUAUGGAAAGGAGGAAGAACACUACCUCAACCAGCUGAUCAAGGCUAACAUCUCUAGUAUGUCAUUAGUGGCAUGUAACCUUGAUAUGAUAUGAUGAGAAUAGCAUUUGAUCUUUGAUCUGUUUCCUCCCCGAAACUCAUUGCCCCAGCCUAAUCAUGAAGAAAUAUCAGACAAUCUCAAAUUAAGUACAAAAUAACCAGUACUCUUCAGAACUAUCAAGGCCACC
rnacentral:lncRNA from 10 species